rnacentral:misc_RNA from 1 species
AAGUCGUAACAAGGUUUCCGUAGGUGAACCUGCGGAAGGAUCAUCACUAAACUUGGUCGCCUCGGUCUAAAUUGACCUGAGUGCGUACCAUAAAAACAACUCUUGUGAACUUGUAAGCUGCUUUUUAUAUAGUUACUUGGUGGUUAUUGUUUUAGGACAAUUGAUCUAGACACCUUGGGUGUCGUAGUUCAUAUAUAUAUGGACGGGUGCCACCAGUAUCUAUAUAUAUUCAACACACUUUUGCAUAAAUUUAAAGCUGAAAAAUUUAUUUUACAAAAAUAUAAACACAACUUUUAACAA